rnacentral:lncRNA from 1 species
AGCCUGACGAGAACAUCAGGGCUUAAAGGGAGGGAGAAUAUGAGACCCCAGAUAGUCCUAUAUAUAAGAUAUAAUUGGGUUAAAAUUUUAACAUUACUUAAAUAUUUUGAGUGGUGGCUAGACCCAAAAGGUUACGAGAGUUAAGUUUGCUAGGACAGGAGUAGUUCUAGAAUAGGUGACCCCCUAGGAAGUUGGGGCGUUACAGAUAAUCUCUAUAAAAAUACUUGAAUAACUAUGAAAUGGCUUCAUUUAUCAAUGAUUAAUUUUUUAAAAAAAUGGUCAGCUAGUUUCUAUUUUUUUUUCCCUUAUUAGAGAUGCAUGCAUUAUGAUCUAUUUUUGAAAACUAGUAGAAGCAAAUAUUAUAGGAUAAUUUCUAUACCCAAAAUCUUAUUUCAACUUAACACCUCAACAAAAAAUUUCUAAACAAUUGUUUCUUUCUUCUUUUUUUUUGAGAGAGAAAGGUAGUAUACUAUCCGCUUCGUAUAUUUUUUUAGAAAUAAACUUAGCUAAAAUGUGAAUCAACUAGGAUUCGAAUUUAGGACCUCGGGUAUCAACCACCAAGCCUUUUGUCACUUGCGUUUCAUAAUACAAUAAAGCAUUGUAUAUAUAACAUCAAACAGUUGGAUUAAUAGAGGCCUUUCAAUAUUGUGUGCACCUUAAGCCUCCAAGUAUUGUAUUGUUUAUUUAAAGGACAACCCCCCCCCCCCCCCCCCUCGUAUUUUUUCAUUUUAGUAAGUGAGAAAGUGUGAAACCACAUGAUACUAACUUGAUACACUUUAAACUAUAGGAUACUAAAGUGAGAAAGUGCGAAACCACAGGGCACUAACUUGAUACACUUUAAACCACAUGAUACUAAAGUCAAAAAGUGUAAAAUUACAUGGUACUAACUUGACACACUUUAAAUCACUAGGUACUAAAGUGAGAAAAAGUGAAACCACGAGGGGGUAUUUGAAGUUUUCUCUUAUUUAAUAUAUUAUAUAUAUAUAUAUAUAUAUAUAUAUAUAUAUACUAUAUAUAUAUAUUAUAUUAUAUAUAUCCUGUGAGAUGCAUUUGAUUAUAAUGUAGAAUUAUAUAUUAUAUAGGAUAAGCAAUCAAUGACCACAAAGUUUUGGUCAACAUUAAUACUGGUCUUAGCUCACUAAGAUAGAUUAAUUAAGUAUAACUCAAACACCAUAACCAUAUUUAAAUUUAUAUAUUUUUUGGGGAUAGAACUAACCAUGUAAUAUUUAAGACUAUUCCACCAAUUAAUAUAUUGUUUUAGCUCCUGCAAAAAGGCCAGAGUGGUAACAAUAGGAUGUUUGCAUUGACAACUUGCCAUUACAAUUUGCUCUUUUUUUUUCUUUUUUUUGGCUGUUUAAUUAAUCCAUCAAUUAUUAGUUCACCACCCUUUGGCAAAAAAUAAAAAAAAUAAGAAAACAAAAGGUCGCAGGUCAAAUUAAUUGGUCAAAUUAAUUAAGGAUAAUUAGAGUUCCUUAAUCAUUGCACCAAAAAAUGAUUACUAGAAAAAACCAAACAGUUUCAGAUCAAAAUUAGAUUCAUAAUAACAGUGAGGUUGCAGGUUUUAGAUCCUGCCUAGCUCUACUCAACAAAUCAGAUCUGGUCCAUUAAUAAUUCAAUUCGCUCCGAUUGGUCGGCGAAAAGCUUAAUUACAUUAAUUAGGUGUUGACUUGCAAAGAAAAAUAAUUAUGAGAAAAAUGUAUAUAUGGUGACCCCCUAAACUAAGUCCUUUUUGAAACUUCCCCCCUUCAAAGUCAGUAUUUUAAAUUGGAGAUUUUAUCAAAUUUAUCGAUAAAAUAUUCCUUCAAAUUUGAGAGAGCCAUUAACUAACAAAAAUAGUUCAAGAAAAAAAAAGGAAAAUUUAGAGAAUGCCAAUAAUAAAAUAUGAAGUUGAGGGGCCUUGGGGGUCUUCAUGCAAUUUUUACCUGCCAAAAAAAAUGGAGUGUGUUCCAUGUGCAAGUCUUGGAGACCCACCUGCUUGCUUAAGCCUCCGUUCAUGUGCCACCCCUUGGAGGAAGGUUUGGAAUAGGGUUUCAAACACAUGUUUAUGAAUUCCACCAUGUGAUUGUUUCUUCCUUUUGGCCUCUUUUCAAUUCUAUUUUUGUGCUUAACAACUCUAGUUUACUUUAUCAUUUGUUACCUAGCUAAAUUAAGAUUGAUCUUAUAGGAAACAAUUCAUAAAAAUAUAUUCAGGACCCACUCAUAUAUAUUUGACAGAUAGGGUAAGAAAUAGGAAUUUAAUCCACUACUGAGAUAUGAUAUAUAUAUAUUCGAGUUCUGUAACGCCCUAGGAUUUGGAUCAUCCUGUAUAUAAAGUAUAAUAGGACUAAACAUCUUAAAUCGGCUAUAAUAUUUUGGAUGGUGGAUAGACCUGAGAGGUUAAGAGAGCUAAGCGUGUUAGGACUAAAAUAGUUCUAGAAUAGAUGAUCGCCCUAGAAGUCGGGUGUUACAGUAGGUAUCAGAGUCAAUCACUAACCAAAAGUGUGAAAUGAGUCUUGAUUGAGCUAGUGUUAUACAACGGGUAGAGCGCGGCUCCCCUACUGACUAUCAUUGUGGGCGGAGCACGGCUCCCCGUAAAGUUUGCUAAGGCUAGCGAGACGAGUCUCACAUCAUCUGGUGCUUGCAAAUAUACUUGAAGUUAUGGCAUGUUUGGUCGCUCGAAAGUGGCUAAAUUAAAAAUGUUACUUUUACAAAAGUGACUUUUCAGUUCGAAUAUUUGUUUGGCUAUAAAUUAAAGUAUGAAAAACUAUAGUUUUAUAAUUUUGAUUAUUCAAUUAUAUAUAAAGAGGUGAAAAUAUAAAAAAUGACUUAUACUCAUAAUUUAAAUUAAAAAUUUAUAUUUACAUUUAUUUUAAAUUUCAAAAUUAUAUUUUAAAAUUUAAAUUUAAACAUAAAUUUGAGUUGAUCUUAUAAUUAAAAUUUAAUUAAGAUAUAAAUUAAAUUUACAAUUUCAAUUUCAAGUUUAAGUUAUAACUCAUAACUGAAAUUAAAUUUUAAAAUAAAAGUUCAAGGCAAAGACUAAAAUAUUUGUUCAAAUUUGAAUUCAUAAUUUGAAUUUGUAUUUUUAAUCAUAUUUUAAUUUACUUUUUGAUCUUAAAUUGUGAAUUCAAUAUGAAUGCACAAUUUGAAUUAAUAAUUAAAAUUAAAAUUAGAAUUAAAUCACAAUGCAAAUUAAAUAUUUGAAUUCAUAAUUCAAAUUCAAAGUUCAAAUUGAAAGUCAUUAUUGAAAUUAAAUAUAAAUAACAAAUUUAUAUUUAAAUUUGAAUUUCAUCUUAAAAUUUAAAUUUUAAAUUCAAAUUUCAGUCAGUAAUUUGAAUUUAUAGUUGGAACAGUUUAAAUUCAAAGUUCAAAUUGAAGUUCUUAGCUAAAAAUAAUUUGAUUAAAAUUUAAAUUUAAAUUCUAGAAUUCAUAUUUAAAUAAAAAUAAAAAUUUAGAAAUUUAAAUUUGAAUAUAAAGUCACAAAUUUGAAUUUAAGAAUUUUAUGUUGAAUUUGAAUUUACAAAUAAAAUUUAGAAUGUGAUCAUAAUUUUAAUUCAAAUUUAAAGUGAAAUUUAACUUUAAUAAUAAAUUCAAAGAUUAAAGUGUAGAUCAAAUAAUAUAACCUCUUACCUAAUUAAGCUCUCCACUUUCAGUGGCUUUCAAAUUUUUUGAGCCAAAAUCAAAAAAAAUAAUAUUUAGUUAUAACUGACUUUAUCAACCUACUUUUAUAAAAUGACUUUUAUAUUCAUUUUCGCAAAGUAAACAACUGAUAAAACAUCAUUUUUCAAAAGUGUUACUUUCGGCUAUCUAAAUAUGUUUUAACGAGAACGUUGGGGCUUAAAGAAAAGAGGAAUGUGACACCCCCAAUUUUGAAUUAAUCUUAUAUAUAAAGUAUAAUAUGACUAAAUCUCUUAAUCCGAUUAUAACAUUUUGGAUGGCGACUACAUUAAGAGGGUUAAGCGUGUUAGGACUACUGUUGGGAAUCCGGUACUCGCCCCGGUACCGGAUCUUGUGAAUCCGCAACCCGCUCCGAUACCGACUGCUGUGAAUUCGGUACCAAUGGUUGGGAUUCCGCAACGGAAACGUCAAAUCGGGUUUUUACCAUAAACCCGUCUCCUCAGCAAAAGCUGAUACAAUCAUAAAAGAGAGAAAUACCAAAAUAGAAAAUAUGCGGGUAAAAUAAGAUUCAUUAAAUAAGAGAAGAUUACACCUAACUCUUUCUGCACAGAGUAACUACAAUCCGAGCUCUCUUUCUGAAUCUCUCCUACCCUUCUCUCGUCUUCUAUAAUCCCAUAAAGAAGACAAUCAUCCGCGCGCACCCAUGCACUAGGUGCACUAAAUAACUCUCUCUCUCUCUUUCGCUCUCUGGUACGGCACCCAAGAGGCCUUUUCUCUUUCUCCCGUACUCACAUCAAAAAAAGCAAACCCACAAAGAGUUAUUUAUAAGGCUCCACUAAAACGUACCCCAAUCCUAAUGUAUUUAGAAUUUCUACUCCAAUUAAUAUCUAAAUCUAUCUUAAUUAAUCUCUAAUAGAUUUAAAUAUUAAUCCCAAUCUAGUUAGAUUUUAUCCUCUAAUUUAAUAUUUAAAUCUUAAUUUAUCUCCAAUAGAUUUAAAUAUUAAUUCUUAUCUAACUAGGAUUCAAUUACAAAUCUAACCAAAUCCUAACAACUACAGUAGUUUUAGGAUGAGUGACCACCUGGGAAGCGAGGCGUCACAAAUGAAU